GAUGAACGCUGGCGGCGUGCCUAAUACAUGCAAGUCGAGCGAACGGACGAGAAGCUUGCUUCUCUGAUGUUAGCGGCGGACGGGUGAGUAACACGUGGAUAACCUACCUAUAAGACUGGGAUAACUUCGGGAAACCGUAGCUAAUACCGGAUAAUAUUUUGAACCGCAUGGUUCAAAAGUGAAAGACGGUCUUGCUGUCACUUAUAGAUGGAUCCGCGCUGCAUUAGCUAGUUGGUAAGGUAACGGCUUACCAAGGCAACGAUGCAUAGCCGACCUGAGAGGGUGAUCGGCCACACUGGAACUGAGACACGGUCAAGACUCCUACGGGAGGCAGCAGUAGGGAAUCUUCCGCAAUGGGCGAAAGCCUGACGGAGCAACGCCGCGUGAGUGAUGAAGGUCUUCGGAUCGUAAAACUCUGUUAUUAGGGAAGAACAUAUGUGUAAGUAACUGUGCACAUCUUGACGGUACCUAAUCAGAAAGCCACGGCUAACUACGUG
rnacentral:rRNA from 1 species